UGCAACCCAUUUGUGUCCAUUUCUAGGUACCAAAGAAUAGCGUUGAAAUCUUAAGUUAUAGGUUACUUGUCUAAUGCUCCAUGUACUAAGGCUGGGAAUCGAUAUGAAAUUUCAAUAUCGAUUAUCGGCAAGAAUUUGUCAGCGAUUAUCGAUAAUAAUCAAUUAUCAUUCUUCCGGAAAAACCGAACUUGACCUACCUGUUAUUUGUGUUGAUAGAGUUACAGUUGUGUUAUUAUCCUAGUCUAAUACUGUGCCGAUGUACGUAAAAAAAUCAAUUAAUGUAAAAUUAUUAGUUGCUAAAUGUAGGAUUAACUUGAGUAUUAUUCUAAGUUUUGUUCUUGAUUCAUUUGAACCUUUUUUUUAUUCCAAUAUCUCCGAUAAAUACAAAGACAAUACAUGGUUUCUCUUUGCAAGUUACUGGCGAUCACACAGUGUUACUAAUAAUAGAAUAAAAUAUAAUAGAAGGCGUCUAUUGAUUGGACAAUAAAAAAAUAAUUACCGGCUUUCAAAGUAGAAUUUUUAUGAUUGGUUAAUUUUGACGAAAACCAAAGUAGAAUUCUUCCAAGAAAUUACAUGAGAUAUAGAUAUUUUCCCGGGAAGUCAAAAACUUGUUUUGUAUGGGCUGUAUCUGACAUGAUUUAGUAAUAAAAGCUGAGUUGAUCAUUAAUAAUACAAUUAGUUUUAUCGUGAAAGCAGACAAUUUCUCUACAAAUCAAUCAAGAGCAAAGAAGGGAGAUAAUUCUAAUUUUACUAUAUCACGUGCGAUCGUCAUUGUUCACAAAGUGCAUGACCUAUUUUAGUUUCAACUAGUAAUAACAACAAAAACAACGAAAAUAUUAAAAUAAUGUAUUUAAUCUUAAAGUUUAGUUUUUUUUUACAAUAAUAUAUAUUUAAAAUGUGCCAGUUUGUAAGCAGAGGGGGAAAAUAGUUGUUGUGUUGACGUUGUGUAUUCGUUCAUUCGUCUGCAUGCCAGACUACGGCAAGUUCAGUCAUGUGAAAGUGACCGUAACUUGCCGUCAGAAGGUAAAUAUACCGAUAAUCGAUAUUUGAAUUUCAAUAUCGAUUAUCGUAUCGCUAAAUAACUUCUACCGAUUAUCGAUUAUAUCGAUAUUUUUGCACAGCCUUACUUAGUACACUGAUUAAUUCUUUUGCCCCCCGCCUUUUGAAGAAAGCAGGGGACUAUUAAAAAGGGGUCUGUCUGUCCGUCCGUCCGCUCUUCCCUAGAUAUACUUGUGCAGUGUUUUGCAAGUAUGAAUGUCACUAGUGGGGUUUUUGGUCACUCGUAAAGUGCAGUGUACAAGUCAAGUCUUUUAAAUGUUUGAAUUCGUCAUUUGUGAGCUGCAGGAUUAAACAUGGGAAAUUCACCCCAUAAUUUUUCCGGACGAGUGACAAAACGUCCGAAACUCUCGGACGGGCAUUUCGGACGGAAGGGUGCCGUGUUUGUAACUCGUUAUUUCGAGUUAUACCCCCUAGCUGUAGUCACAUUGUCCAGUCCUGUUUAUAUCCACAAUCUGGCCAAUUAUAAUCGAGCAUAUAACCAGGUGGUCAUUCUCAGCCAAUGAAAAUACGUGAAAAUAUCGCGCAAUGAUUGAUGGGUAGGAGUGUGUUUCGGACGGAAAUUCCUGACAAGCGAAAGGAAUUGUAAGUAUUAAUUGCAUUCAACAUUUUAAAUCAUGCUUAAUUUUAUUUACUUAUAUGUCGUUGAGACAACGCAUUUUGGCGGCUAACAAUGUCUAUAAGAUGUAUUUUUUGACCGGGAGUGGGUCGAGUAAGGGUCUACAACUACAGUGCAAGAAAGUAGGUCAUCGCGAAGUCGACGAUUUCAUCCACAAUAUAUGUUGACGUGUAAAAUGCGAUAUGUUUUGGCAAGAUGUCUUACCAUUUAAAAUUAAUAAAUUGUUUAGCCGUACUGUUGUUCUCUUUGUUCCUAUUUUGAUGUUACUUUUCCUGAUUUUCGUAGUUUUCUGUGGCACUGUUAUUUAAAUUAAUGCUUUGGAAUAGCAUGAAGGACGGUAAUUGGUAAGCGGUAAGGCAAUCAUUAAUUAUGCAUUAUGAUGGUCACUAUCAUCAAUAAUUGAAUAAAUAAAAAUAACUUACAAUCUCAGAUUGAUUCAGAAAAAAAAAUAUUUAUAAGAUUAUAAAUGAAAUGGUAUUGGUAGUCAUGCAGGUACAUGUACCAGUAUGCCUGCGGUGAACAGAAUUUUCACUAGGGCUCCUGACCCUGCUAAGAAUUAAAUUCAAAUUGUUGUCACACAGCAUAAGUAAAUAGUAUAUUAAUAUUAGAGAAUUUUGUAGUAAGUUGUAAGGCCAGGCAUUUUUUAAUUUUGUAAAAUUAAUGUGGUCUGUGCCAUUGACUAAGUCUGAAAUAAAAUAUAUAUACUAACCAAAUAUAAACCGGAGCGAGGGUACGUUUCUGAAAUACUAUCACAUAUUCACCGGUACUACAUAUAUAUGCGCGACUGCGCGAGGGGUGAAGAUUGCGUCUAAGCCCUAACAUAUACAUGUAGGCCUAGUCGAAAAGGCUUAAUUGAGCUAGCACUAAACCAAAUUAAGACCAUUCCCACCUAAUUUUUAUAGUUCUGAUGGGUGGGAAGAAAUUUGCAGACAUAUUCAUAUCCCUUGAGAUGGAUACUGCUAAACUUGGCCGCCUUGGGCCUCUGACGUUUUUAUUAUUUAGAUUAUACUAGAACAUUUUGAUUUAUGUAAGCUUAAUUGAUUUUUUUUUGUAGCAAUGAUAGUAAAUAGAAAAAUUCACUGUGAGCGUUGGUGUGACAAAGGUCAGUUGAAGAAGAAGAAAAACAGUCUUGCUUUGUUUUUAAAUGACUUUACCUUGGCUGAGAGCAAUGAACACAGAUUGCAACAGUUUUACGAUACAGAUAAUAGAGAUGUACCAAAAACUGAUGAAGACUGGAAUAUACUGACAAUGUUGGAGAUAAAUAAUUGAAAUAUAUACCAAGAAAUGAUGAUAGUGGAGAUACUAAUAUAUAAAAAGAAUUUCAAAAUCAGAGACAAGUAAGACUGGAAAGAUAAAAAAAUAUUCACGAGUUAAUAAUCAGUACCAAAAUUGUGAUAUUUGCAAGAGGGAAUUUUCUAACUUUUCGUAACACCUUUUGAGGAAACACAAAACUGAAGAUGAAGUGAAAUUAUUUGCAGAUGAAAACCCAAUUUAAUCAAGACACUAGGUUUAUCAACAUCUUCUUCAUCUACCACAUUAUAUUCAGCAGGAUGUGUACUUUCCGCAAUUCAGGGUAUUUCCUAUAUUCUUUAGCAUCCAAAGGUUACCCAAAAGGACUAUUAAAGUAUCAGACUUAGCAACUUGUCCAACUUAAUCAUUAUUCAUCUUGCUAAAAACAUCUUUGAUUAACCUUUUUAGUAGCAACAGGCUGAAUCUGCAUUGACAUUGUGUCUGACUGAGUUCGUAGCUCUGCAGAAGUAAAAUUUAACCCAGAUAAUGCAAGAUCGACUAUGUUUCCACAGUAAACUCUUUUGACCCAUGUCAGACAGUGUGGACAAGGUCCGUAGUUAUCUAGUUGAAAACGGUCACAUGGUCGUCUAUCAAGAAUGAUUUCCCCUUUUAACAUUAUAUUGUAAUUUGGAUGAUACUAUAAACUGUCAGCUCCUAUAGUAUAGGAGUAAAUGCAUCAGAACACUAGUUCGUGCAUUGUACAAUUUGCUAUCCAGAGACAUUUGCUACCUGGUAUACUAAAGGGUAUUAAUUUGUUAAAAUGAUAAAAUAACUUUAUAAAUAUUAACUGUGUUGACAUUUUUAAAAACCAUUUAUCUUAUAAGCUACUUUUAUCUUUUUAGAAUUUGACUGUGGCAUAAUUAAGCUACAUGUACACUUAAUAUUUUGUACCUUGUGAAUCUGAAUUUUAAAUGACAUAAUUACGAACUAGGCAUUACUCAAUUGUUUUCGACUUCAAAAUAUAAACUGAUUUGUGGAAGUAAAAUGAUAUCUAUAAAAAGUUUUAUUUUAAUACCUCCAUACAUGUAGGACAAACUUGAGAUGCGAUUCAACUGCCAGUCAAGGUGCCAGCAAUAUAAUUACGAGAAAUUCAGUAUAAAUACAUUGCAGUCUAGACUGCGGUUAAUUGAUUUCGACACAGUCAAUAUGAUCGAACUUGAUAGUCGAUUGACUCUCUUCUUAGACUCGGUACUUGUUCCCACCUCUGUAUAAUCUGUAUGGCUAUGCAAAAUAAUCCAUUGAGUGGCAUUAUAGAUUGUAGUAAAUAAAUUAAACUUCGUAUGUACAUGUAAGCACAUAUAUCCAGAGGCAGUAUGUAGUUUAAUAAAUAAUGAUUAUUUUGCAAAAAAUGUUUUUGUGUUUGUGUUAUUUCCAAGAUGGCACGAUGGUUAAAUG